GCACAACUGAAAAUUCUUUUAUGCGUGAACAGACUAAACUGAAUACGUGCUGUCGAUAUGAGUGGCAAAUAUGCCUGUUGUUUGAUUAUCUUACUUCUAAUUGUAAGUGACGUCGUUGAAUGCAGGCCAAGUCGGUACGGAAGAUGGCUAAAAAAGCUUUGCUUCCACUACUGCAGAAUCGUGAAAGAUCGUCUUACUGGGCUAACAUGCACCCAAAGAAGUCAUUUAGAUCAUCGUAUGUGCAAGCUGUGUCGACAUGAUUACAACUGCGGUGUAAUAUCUUUUAUGUAAAUUUUAUUUUCAAUGUUAGUCAUUUGGCGAUAUAUAAACUUGAAUUACAUAACACUGCCGGAAAGUCGUUUUCAGGUUUUUAAUGUAUUUCAAUGCAACUUUGAGAGUGAAAAUAAAUUUUUUGCAACUCAAUGUAAACCCUAUUUCUAAGUUUUGUUUACUUUUUUGAGCAUUGAAGAUAUCGAUUUGGGAACUUUUCAAUCAAGCUGAGGAUGUAUUAUUAUUUUUUUAUGCGACAUAACAAUGGUUUUUGUGUGAUAUAUCAACCAAAAACCUUUGUACUCUUAAUUUGUACGUGAUAGUUCAAUUGUAGUAAGUGAUUUAUAGAUAAUGGCUAAACUUCAAAUAGACUUCAGUGUGUAAAUUAUAUCACGUCGUCUUUCUGAAUUGAAAGUUUGAAAUCACCAAUUCUUUCUAUUUCUCAGUCAGUUUGAUGUAAGAAUGUAAAUACAUAUUAUUCGCUAAUACAACAACUUUGUGAUACCUGAACUGUUUGAUUCAAUUG